GCUUGUCUCAAAGAUUAAGCCAUGCAUGUCUAAGUAUAAGCGAUUAUACUGUGAAACUGCGAAUGGCUCAUUAUAUCAGUUAUAGUUUAUUUGAGAGUCCCUUACUACUUGGAUAACCGUAGUAAUUCUAGAGCUAAUACAUGCAUACAGAGGGAACUGCUUGCGGAACCCUCGCGGAUAUUAGAUAGAAACCAAUGCGGGGCAACCCGGUUUUGUGGUGAAUCAUGAUAUCUCAGCGGAUCGCAUGGCCUCGUGCCGGCGACGACUCAUUCAAGUUUCUGCCCUAUCAGCUUUGGAUGGUAGGGUAUUGGCCUACCAUGGCUUUAACGGGUAACGGAGAAUUGGGGUUCGGUUCCGGAGAGGGAGCCUGAGAAACGGCUACCACAUCCAAGGAAGGCAGCAGG
rnacentral:rRNA from 1 species